AUGACCAGCCGCGUUUGCCAGCUUGAGAUCGCUGAAGAAGGAGAACAAGUUCAGCCGCGACGCCUCUUCCGCAGCAACACCCCUUUGCUGGUGGCUGCCCCGUCUGCCCGUCGGCCCUCUGCCCCCCCAAAGAGCCGCGCCCCCACAGCACCAUCUCGCCACAGCGCCCGUCAGGCUGCCAACCCCUCCAACGUGCCGGUGGCCCAGCGCGCGUCCCUCCGCAUCGUCAAGGAGCUGGGACUGCUGGGGCCAAAGGAGAAGAUGACGACCGAAGUUGCCGAGGCCCUCCUGCGUUGUUUUGAUGAGCCACUCACCGAGGCUGACAUUGCGGUCAUUGCCAAACUGACGCGGCUGGACGCCGACGCCCUGAAGAUCGCGGCUGGCAUGGCCGGGCCUGAUGGAGCUGCUGAGGAGGCCGUAGUUUAG
rnacentral:rRNA from 1 species